rnacentral:rRNA from 1 species
GAUGAACGCUAGCGGCAGGCCUAAUACAUGCAAGUCGGACGGGAUUCAGGAGCUUGCUUCUGAUGAGAGUGGCGCACGGGUGCGUAACACGUAUGUAACCUACCUUUAUCAGGGGGAUAGCCUCUCGAAAGAGAGAUUAAGCCCGCAUAAAAUCACAGCACAGCAUUGUGUAAUGAUCAAAUAUUUAUAGGAUAAAGAUGGGCAUGCGGAACAUUAGCUAGAUGGCGGGGUAACGGCCCACCAUGGCGACGAUGUUUAGGGGAUCUGAGAGGAUGGCCCCCCACACUGGUACGGAGACACGGACCAGACUCCUACGGGAGGCAGCAGUAAGGAAUAGUGGUCAAUGGGCGGAAGCCUGAACCAGCCAUGCCGCGUGCAGGAAGACGGCCCUACGGGUUGUAAACUGCUUUUAUACGGGAAUAAACCCAGAUACGUGUAUCUGGCUGAAUGUACUGUAAGAAUAAGGAUCGGCUAACUCCGUG